GUUCCGUAGGUGAACCUGCGGAAGGAUCAUUAUUGAAUAAACCUGAUGUGGUUGUAGCUGGCCCUUUCGGGAGCAUGUGCACACCUGUCGUCUUUAUCUUUCCACCUGUGCACCUUUUGUAGACCUGGAUGUAACACUUUCCGAGGCAACUCGGUCGGGAGGAAUGCUGUCAGCUUUCCUUGAAUGUCCAGGCCUAUGUUUUCAUAUACCCCAAAGAAUGUAACAGAAUGUAUUAUUGGGCCUUGUGCCUAUAAACUAUAUACAACUUUCAGCAACGGAUCUCUUGGCUCUC
rnacentral:misc_RNA from 1 species